UCUUUUUCACAGAAGCCAUACUCUCUAUAAAACUCUCUUGCCCUAAACUCUCCUCUGCCUUCUCUCUAGAUUUCUGAAAAAUUUAACCAUCCAAACUUAAUUCUGAAGGUGUUCAAGCGUUCACUGCGUAGAGACCUUCCUUUCUACCGAACAUUUUCUUCUUUCCGAUUGGUGAGUCAUUUUUCCCUUUUUCUCCACUAUUUCUAGCAUCAAGGGCAUGCAACUUUGCUGGUUUCAUGUUCCUCAUGCGUUUUUCCUUCCAUUCCCUGCCUAUCUGAGUUCUAAGGAUUGUGUUCUAU
rnacentral:lncRNA from 1 species